CUCUGCACGUCGGGACCGCAGCCAACGCAACGAAAACCUCACACCUGACCUGCUCUGUAAUAAAUCCCAGUUUUCUGCUCAAGCAUGCUUGCUUUUCCUUCAUGGAGCAAGGCCUGAGUGGUGAGCCAAAGUAAUACCAAGCUUACAUGUCCAAGAACUUCCAGAAACGUGUCAGCACUGUCAGUGAGGAUGUGCAUUGCUCUGUGGGUGUUAGGAGUGAAGGAAAAAUGAGGGUUUUAGUUGGCAAAGCAGAAUUCUUUUGUGGAGGACUGACAAGGCAUGGUGCUGAGCCACAAAGGUGAUGAGUGGGCUCUGACUAGCUCUGCCUAAAUGAAACCCACAUUUUCCUUCCCAGCCUUGCCUUUUAUUAUCCUGAAAAGAGCAAAUGGAAGAGGAAUCAAGUACAAAACACCAGGACAAACAGCACAGAUGAAGAAUCAGAGAUGCAGCUGAAACACAUCAAUGCCCACAGGUCACAGCAUCCCGGAAGAUUCCCAAACGUGGAUCUGUCAAAAUGCUCUGGAAAUAAGGGUGCAAGAUCUAAAAGAUUCAGGACCAGAAUUAGAAGAUGAGACCAUCAUGAAGAAAAUGUGCUGAGGCUACGUAGGGAUCUCUUUUGGCUGAGGACUGAAUGUUGAUCAUCAAUUGGUUGCUGUGCUAAAUAAGUGAUUUCCUCCCAACAAUUCCCUCUAUAUGUUUGAUUUAACCAACUGUGUGCAGCAGCCAAAUAUUCUAUGCUUGAACAGCCUUAGAAUCCAGUCUGGGUUGGAUAAACUGCACAAAGAGCACAAGGGCAAUGGAGCUGCUCCCUGCUAAACAUCCAGGCAGAGGGGCUGACCCUGCAAUGUUAGGUCAAAUUUUCUUCCACUAAGUAAAUUUUUCUCUCACAAAGAAUUGAGAUUUUGCUCACCAGCAGCAAAGCAGUUACCACCUGUUCUUCUAGGCAGGUAUGCCUUCUGUAGAAUCAUCCCAGCAAAAAUCUGGGAUUUAUCCUCAAACACCUUAAACCCUGGUAUUUAUCAUUAGAAACAGUUAAUAAAUGAAGGUAUGAAUCAGGUAAAUGACAAUAUAAUGAACAUCUUCAAAGCAGCGAGCAGAUGUGAAAAUGAGAUAAUAGGUGACUCAUGUAAUUACACAAAUAUAAAUAUUGGAUCCAUUAUAACACACACUACCCUGAGGGUGUGCACAACACAGAGUCACAGGAUGAUUUGUUUUGGGAGGGACCUUAAAGAUCAUCUCACUCCAACCCCCUGCCACGGGCAGGGACACCUCCCAGUACAAGGCUGCUCAGAGCCCCAUCCAGCCUGGAUAUAGAGUUACAGAAAUUUCCAUCCCUAAAAAUACCCAGCCUGACUCUCCCACUCUCUGCCUAUCCUCAGCACCACAACAGAAUGUCAGUGCCAAUUAUUACAAUUAAUGACAAAGUUAAUUCCAGGAGUAUGUGGGUUAUUGAAAGCUUCUAGCUGUUUUGUUUUUGUUGUUUUUUUUUUUUUUUUUUUUUUGUUCUCACAGUGAAAAACAGCUUCAACCUUCGUGCACUUUGAAAAAAAAAAGAAUUAAUUACCUGUAAUGAGUGCUCAGUAUACCAGGCAUGGCAUCACAAUCCCUUUUUGUGCUCCAAAACCUCACAAAAAAUGUCCCUACACAACCCAGGUGUGGGAGCAAGAAUUCAAUGACAUUUGUGAACAGGGCACAGGGAGUUUAAACAGCCUUGUUUGCAACCACCCCACAAGUUUGUGAGAGAUGCUUCAGCCUCAGAUGACUUUGAGUUUUCCUGUGAUGGUGCUCUGGGGCAGCUCACAAACACCAAGCUCCUUUCUAGGUUAAUCCCACUGCCAGGUGGGCUCAGCUCCCCGUGCCUGUUCCAGCUCAUUUCUGAGAAACCAUUUUGCAAGUCCGAUAGGAAAACACCAAGGGCUUAGCUGGAAUGCAAAUUAUUCUUCUGGGGCCUGCCAGCUUUAAUGGGAGGAGGAUGGGACCCAUAAUCUUGUUUUGUUUCUUUUCAGGACUAAAUAUAAUGGAAGGCUCUGUUUCCCUGUUACUGUCUUCCUUCGAGGGCUCCAGCAGGAGAUCAAUGACUAAGACUCUGCUGUAAUUUCUUUGUCUCAGUUCCUUAAACUGCUCUUUUCUUUCCUCACUUUAAUCUGGUUUGGUUUGCUCUUCUGAGGGGUAUUAAUUCAAUAAUUUAGGUAUUAAUUCAAUAACUUUCUAGGCUAGACUCUGGCAUUGGAGACUUUCUCCUCCACCAGCCUGAUCUGUCCCUGCUUUCAAAACAAACACAUGGGAAGAGUGCACAUUUAUCUCAGAAUACACCAGAAACAAAGGGAUCUCUAAGCUAACAGUCCUUCUCUAAAGCACCAGUUCUUUAAAUGAAUCACCACAAAACAAUCCUUCAAAUUCCUGUGUGAGCCCUGCAAAGGGAAUGUGUGUGAGCAGUGGAGGGGCAGCACCAAUCUCUGCUCCCUGUGAACGGUGCCAGGCCUUGAGGGAAGGGCAUGAAGUGGUGUCAGGAGAGGUUUAGGUUGGAUUUUAGGAAAAGAUUCUUCCUCCAGAGGGUGGUUGGGCCCUGGACAGGCUGCCCAGGGAAUAGGCACAGCCCCAAGGCUGCCAGAGCUCCAGGAGUUUGGACAACAUUCUCAGGCACAGGGUGGGAUUGUUGGGGUAUCUGUGCAGGGCCAGGGGUUGGACUCUGAUCCUUGUGGGUCUCUUUCAAAUCAGGAUAUUCUGUGAUUCUGUAUUUCAAGUGUAGAGUUCAUAGGAUAACAAGAGGAUCUAUGACCACUGGCAAAUAAAACAAUACUAAAAUAAUUUAAAAUAUCCAUUCAAGUCCUCCAAGAUUGUGUUGAUGUUGGCAGUCAUUUGAUUUCAGUGCCUAAGUGAAAUUAGGAUAUUUUCUGAAAAAUCCCUUCACCAGGAUUUCUUCUCCUGGGAAGCUUCAGCUUCUCCAUGUUUUGCUGCUUUGGAAUGUGGUCUGGAGAGUGUUUAUCCAGCAUGUGAAUUGUUUUAAUUUAAUGAUCAAUCUUGGUCCAGCUGUGUCAAGGCUCUGAGGAGUCAUGGGUUUUCCUUUAUCAUUCUUGUUAAGCCUUCUGGUGAAUCCUUUCUCUUUCUCUAGUAUAGUUUUAGUAUGGCAUUCUUUUAAUAUUAUAUAAUAUAAUAUCAUAAAAUAAUAAAUCACCUUCUGAGAACAUGGAGUCAAAUUCUCAUCUCUUCACCUCAUCCUGGGGACCCUCACAAACAGCACACUUUAGGAUUAUGAAACAACCUUAAAGUUUGCAAUGCUGCUGCAGCUGCCAUUUGAGACUUUCAGAACAUUCUGGAAGCACGAUUUGGCCACAUUUCACAAUUCCUGCCCCAAGGGUUUUGCUGAGAUGGAUUUCCCUUGUUUUAUUAACAGAGGAAUUCAGUGGUUAGAUAUCUGGCUGAAGUACUUCCACAAAGAUUUCCUGAAGACUACAGAUACCACUCCUUAAAGACUAAAAAUCUGCCCACAUCUGGCACAGAAAGCUUUCAGAUUAAUUAGUGCAGCAGAUCAAUUGGUACCACAAGAGGUGAAGAACUGGUGUGUGGAAAUCUCAAGCACUUGGAAAACUUUCUAUUUCCCUGCAGAAAGCUUAAAAGCUAAAUAAAUGCAAGUGAUUGAACAA